rnacentral:rRNA from 1 species
UACGGGGGGGGGCAAGCGUUGUUCGGAAUUACUGGGCGUAAAGGGCUCGUAGGCGGCCAACUAAGUCGGACGUGAAAUCCCCAGGCUCAACCUGGGAACUGCGUCCGAUACUGGAUGGCUUGAAUCCGGGAGAGGGAUGCAGAAUUCCAGGUGUAGCGGUGAAAUGCGUAGAUAUCAGGAAGAACACCUAUGGCGAAGGCAGCUCUCUGGGACGGUACUGACGCUGAGACGCGAAAGCGUGGGGAGCGAACAGG